AUUAGUAGAAGAAGGUGGUUGGUUGGUUGGAUCAAUGGAUGAAUAGAUGGAUGUGAAUGUUUGUCAUUUUGCUUGGACAUCUUUCAUCUUACUUUGCCUUCAAUAAUGUGUCCAUUCUGGUUAAAAGCGCUUAAAAUGUAGGGUUUACAUUAAUGCGACCGGCCGGCAGUAUAGCAUUAUUUCAUGAUGAUGGUUUGCGGGCGGUUUGUAGGAAGGUAUGUUGGCGCGGGGUAAGUUUGAUGAAUGAAAAAAAAAAAUGAUUGUAUGAUUUGUACAACUUUCGUAGCAGCUUUUUUGCGGAGGGAAUCUCUUUUAUUUCAAUUUUAUAUCACACAAUAGGUGACAUUUUUUUCUAAUUUAAAAUAUUUGAAAUAUAACAUCAGAAAUAACAAUUGCAUAGUUGCACUCGGUACCAUAAAAUAGCAAUGGUAAACUGGGAAAAGGAAAAAUUCCAAAUAGUAAAUAUAUUUUACCAUUUUGACAACUCUUCUUUGCUGAUACAAUUACUUCAAAAAGUCGUAAGUAAUAAUUGAUAGGAUAAUUGCAAUAUCAAAAAGUAGGGCAGUUACUGAGGAUAAUAAAGAAGCUUGUAGUGGAAUAUAUUUUCGAUGAUGGUUCAAAAUCGCUUAUGGGUUCUCGACAAGUGGAUUAAAAUUUGAUGCGUGACUGGUGGUAUUUCAGAGGGUCGUUCAUAUAAUGAUAUUAAAGAAAUACACUCAAUAUGUACUUUACAAAGUCAAGUGAUCAACAAUGGAAUGUAUUUUCUAAAACUAUACAACCUGCACUUGAUAAAGUAUUAUAUUUGAUCUAUCUUUUCCCCUGAGAUCU